UAGGGGUAUUUCGGUUAUUUUACCUUAUGGAGGUAUUUUGGUUAUUUUACCUUAUUGGGGUAUUUCAGUCAUUUUACCCUAUGGGGUAUUUUAGUUAUUUUACCCUAUGGCGGUAUUUUGGUCGCCUCGAGCGACUCAGGUGAUCUAAAUGGUCAUAACAGUGUAAAUGGGCCCAAGGUCCAUUACUCAACCCAAGUGGGCCCACACGCUCGUCCAGCC
rnacentral:lncRNA from 1 species